AGUUAAAAAGCUCGUAGUUGGAUCUUGGGAGCGGGCGGGCGGUCCGCCGCGAGGCGAGUCACCGCCCGUCCCCGCCCCUUGCCUCUCGGCGCCCCCUCGAUGCUCUUAGCUGAGUGUCCCGCGGGGCCCGAAGCGUUUACUUUGAAAAAAUUAGAGUGUUCAAAGCAGGCCCGAGCCGCCUGGAUACCGCAGCUAGGAAUAAUGGAAUAGGACCGCGGUUCUAUUUUGUUGGUUUUCGGAACUGAGGCCAUGAUUAAGAGGGACGGCCGGGGGCAUUCGUAUUGCGCCGCUAGAGGUGAAAUUCUUGGACCGGCGCAAGACGGACCAGAGCGAAAGCAUUUGCCAAGAAUGUUUUCAU
rnacentral:misc_RNA from 1 species